GAUUAACGCUGGCGGCGUGCAUAACACAUGCAAGUCGAACGAUGAAACUUAACUGAUUUCUUCGGAAUGAUUUUAAGUGGAUUAGUGGCGGACGGGUGAGUAACGCGUGAGUAACCUGCCUUGGAGAAGGGGAUAGCCUUUGGAAACGAAGAAUAAUACCCUAUGAUAUGAUAAUAUCUCAUGAUAUUAUCAUCAAAGAUUUAUCGCUCUAAGAUGGACUUGCGUCUGAUUAGUUAGUUGGUGAGGUAACAGCUCACCAAGGCAGCGAUCAGUAGCCGGCUUGAGAGAGUGUACGGCCACAUUGGGACUGAGACACGGCCCAGACUCCUACGGGAGGCAGCAGUGGGGAAUUUUGCACAAUGGGGGAAACCCUGAUGCAGCGACGCCGCGUGAUUUAGAAGGCCUUCGGGUUGUAAGAAUCUUUUGUAUGGGAAGAAAAUGACAGUACCAUACGAAUAAGGACCGGCUAAUUACGUG
rnacentral:rRNA from 1 species